ensembl:snRNA Gm23423 U6 spliceosomal RNA
GCACUGUCUCCAGAGCACUUAUACUAAAAUUAAAACAAUGCAGGGAAGAUGAGCAUGAUCCCUGCACAAGGAUGGCAUGAAAUCCACGAAGCAUUCCAUAUUUCA